rnacentral:rRNA from 1 species
UACGGGGGGGGUAAGCGUUGUUCGGAAUUACUGGGCGUAAAGGGCUCGUAGGCGGCCAACUAAGUCAUACGUGAAAUCCCUCAGCUUAACUGGGGAACUGCGUCUGAUACUGGAUGGCUUGGAUUUGGGAGAGGGAUGCGGAAUUCCAGGUGUAGCGGUGAAAUGCGUAGAUAUCUGGAGGAACACCGGUGGCGAAGGCGGCAUCCUGGACCAAUAUUGACGCUGAGGAGCGAAAGCCAGGGGAGCAAACAGG